CGGCUCCAUGAGGCCAUGUCGCGGCGGCUCCGUCAGCGCUCUCUGUCCUUCCCCACAGGGCUGAUGGCGGCCGUGACGUUGGACGAGUCCGGGGGCGGCCUCCAGACGCCCGGAGGAGCGCUCAGCCUCGUCUGCAAGGCCUCCGGGUUCACCUUCAGCAGUUACAGCAUGGGUUGGGUGCGACAGGCGCCCGGCAAAGGGCUGGAAUGGGUCGCUGGUAUUGAUGAUGAUGGUAGUUUCACAGCAUACGGGUCGGCGGUGAAGGGCCGUGCCACCAUCUCGAGGGACAACGGGCAGAGCACAGUGAGGCUGCAGCUGAACAACCUCAGGGCUGAGGACACCGGCACCUACUACUGCGCCAAAAGUGCUGGUGGUAGUUGGAGUGCUGCUGUUCCACGUGCGGAACACGUCCCCCCCCACAUGGGGACACGAACUCAUCUGCAUCUGGGAAGGUUCCCCCCGGGAUGCAGAGCUCUGUGAUGGGGGCAGUGAAGU